CGAGGCGAGUGCCGCGAGGCCUCUGCCCGAUGCCGACCCUGACGCACUUCCCCAGCGCCAGGUCCGGUGAAUCGGACAGAGACCUCGCGGCAUCCGCCCCCACCU
rfam:Rhodococcus sp. RD6.2 genome assembly, contig: RHCRD62_Contig_3